GUGUGCAAAGUGUUGUGGUCGCACGCCUCCCUGCCUCGGAGGUAGCGAGGGUUCGAUCCCCUCUGCGCACU
rnacentral:tRNA from 1 species